GGAAUACUCUUUCAGUCCCAAAAUUCUUGUCUUAAAUUUGUCUAGAUACAGAUGUGUCUAAUACUAAAACAUGACUUGAUAAAUUCGUAUUUAGACAAAUUUAAGACAAAAAUUUUAAAACGAAGGGAGUAUUUU
rfam:Triticum aestivum genome assembly, contig: Triticum_aestivum_CS42_TGACv1_scaffold_603740_7DL